rnacentral:rRNA from 1 species
CCUACGGGUGGCAGCAGUGAGGAAUAUUGGUCAAUGGGCGAGAGCCUGAACCAGCCAAGUCGCGUGAAGGAUGACGGCCCUACGGGUUGUAAACUUCUUUUGUCAGGGAGCAAUUGAGUCCACGUGUGGUCUUAGCGAGAGUACCUGAAGAAAAAGCAUCGGCUAACUCCGUGCCAGCAGCCGCGGUAAUACAGCGGAUGUGAGCGUUAUACGGAUUGAUUGGGUUUAAAGGGUGCGUAGGCGGAAGCUCAAGUCAGCGGUAAAAAUUCGGGGCUCAACCCCGUCGUGCCGUUGAAACUGAUGUUCUUGAGUGGGCGAGAAGGAUGCGGAAGGCGUGGUGUAGCGGUGAAAUGCAUAGAUAUCACGCAGAACUCCGAUUGCGAAGGCAGCAUACCGGCGCCCAACUGACGCUGAAGCACGAAAGCGUGGGUAUCGAACAGGAUUAGAUACCCCAGUAGUC